GGGGUCGACUGGUUUUGACAGGAAGUGCGAUUAUUUUGUAAGCAUGUCGAGCUUUGGUUUCUAUGCUCGUUAAUUCAGGAUACCAUCUUUUUAAACGGAGAAAAUAACUUCGCGUUAGCUGCUUAAUCUUGUCUCAGACAGAUAGAGCUUAAUCCGAGCACCAGGUGCCGGACUGACCGUCUCGGGUGAUCGUUUGUUCGAUACCUUCACUAAUCGGGGCGUUGUCGAAUUCGAACUAGAUACAGCAGAAUCUGGAUGCUGUUUCGAAAAUUAACAGAAUAAGCUUUAAUUCGGGUGUUUGUGCCCAGGUUAUAGUCGAAAAUUAAUCAUAAACUAAGCNUGUAGAAAGCAUCUUAAUUCCUUUUUUGGACGCGGGUUCGANUCCCGCCGACUCCACUA
rnacentral:tmRNA from 1 species